GGGCCCGCACAAGCGGUGGAGCAUGUGGUUUAAUUCGAAGCAACGCGAAGAACCUUACCAGGUCUUGACAUCGGAGUGCCAUUUUUAGAGAUAAGAAGUUCCUUCGGGACACUCUAGACAGGUGGUGCAUGGUUGUCGUCAGCUCGUGUCGUGAGAUGUUGGGUUAAGUCCCGCAACGAGCGCAACCCUUAUGUUUCGUUACCAUCAUUAAGUUGGGGACUCGAGACAGACUGCCGCAGACAAUGCGGAGGAAGGUGGGGAUGACGUCAAAUCAUCAUGCCCCUUAUGACCUGGGCUACACACGUGCUACAAUGGGGAGUACAACGAGCAGCAAGCUGGUGACAGCAAGCGAAUCUCUGAAAGCUCCUCUCAGUUCGGAUUGUAGGCUGCAACUCGCCUACAUGAAGCCGGAAUCGCUAGUAAUCGCGGAUCAGCACGCCGCGGUGAACUACG
rnacentral:rRNA from 1 species